AUAUAUGAAUGAAUUUUUUCUUCAGUGUUAUACUACCAAUUAUAUUUCUCAUCUUAAUCUAAACUCUUUUAGAAAUCUUGUUGCUGUCUGCAUAUGCCAAUUAUUAUCAUAUUGCAUUUCAUUGUUCUGCGACAUGCUGAACUCAAACUCAAAGUAGCUUAUCAAACAGAGUUUGUCAAAUCAUAUAUUUUUUUGUGACUUUUAUUUCUGCUGUUUCUCUGGCUAGAUGUACUCGAAGGAGAAAUAUUUCUGCAAAACUUGCCCAGCAUUGUUACGGCUUGUGUUUUAGAUACUAAAGGUGCUUCUACUGACAUUGAAGUAAAUUAAAGUAUCCAACUUUUAUUGCUGGAAUCAUACUUCUCCAGUUAUAAACAUCAUUUACCUGCUAUAGAUCCUCAAGAAGGUGAAAGAAUAUUGGACAUGUGUGCU